GAGUUUGAUCAUGGCUCAGAUUGAACGCUGGCGGCAGGCCUAACACAUGCAAGUCGAGCGGAAACGAUCCUAGCUUGCUAGGAGGCGUCGAGCGGCGGACGGGUGAGUAAUGCAUAGGAAUCUGCCCGGUAGUGGGGGAUAACUUGAGGAAACUCAAGCUAAUACCGCAUACGCCCUACGGGGGAAAGCAGGGGCUCUUCGGACCUUGCGCUAUCGGAUGAGCUUAUGUCGGAUUAGCUAGUUGGUGAGGUAAUGGCUCACCAAGGCGACGAUCCGUAGCUGGUCUGAGAGGAUGAUCAGCCACAUCGGGACUGAGACACGGCCCGAACUCCUACGGGAGGCAGCAGUGGGGAAUAUUGGACAAUGGGGGCAACCCUGAUCCAGCCAUGCCGCGUGUGUGAAGAAGGCCCUCGGGUUGUAAAGCACUUUCAGCGAGGAAGAAUGCUUGUCGGUUAAUACCCGGCAAGGGAGACAUCACUUCGCAGAAGAAGCACCGG
rnacentral:rRNA from 1 species